UUCCACCUCUGCGGCCUAAGAAGAGGGUGUUUGACACCAUGGCCUUGACCCCUGUCCUACUCGUGCUCCUGUGUCACUGGACAGGUUCCCUGUCCCAACCUGUUGUGACUCAGCCACCCUCCCUCUCUGCCUCUCCGGGAACGACUGCCAGACUCACCUGCACCCUGAGCAGGGACAUCAACGUGGGCAGCUAUUACAUAUACUGGUACCAACAGAAGACUGGGAGCUCUCCCCGGUAUCUCCUGAACUACUACUCAGACUCAGAUAAACACCAGGGCUCUGGGGUCCCCAACCGCUUCUCCGGAUCCAAAGAUGCCUCGGCCAAUGCAGGACUUCUGCUCAUCUCUGGGCUGCAGCCUGAGGACGAGGCUGACUACUACUGUGCAAUCUGGCACAGCAGUGCUGGGCACAGUGACACACACACAUGGGGAAGUGGGACAAAUACUUCAGCCUGCUCAGACCCCUGGGCCUCAGAGGAGCCAGGGAGAUGUGCCGCCAAAAGCUUGAGGCGGUGGGUGCCAGGAGAUGUCUUGGACCCACAGGGUAAAGAGACAGCUGGUUGGAGUAGGCCUGUGGCACCAAGGGUGGAAUUCCAGGGUCCGGGGUGA